rnacentral:rRNA from 1 species
AUUGAACGCUGGCGGCAGGCCUAACACAUGCCAGUCGAGCGAGCGGCGGACGGGUGAGUAAUGUCUGGGAAACUGCCUGAUGGAGGGGGAUAACUACUGGAAACGGUAGCUAAUACCGCAUACCAUCAGAUGUGCCCAGAUGGGAUUGGCUGGUAGGGGGGGUAACGGCUCCCCUAGGCGACGCUCCCUAGCUGGUCUGAGAGGAUGACCAGCCACACGGGAACGGAGACACGGUCCAGACUCCGACGGGAGGGAGCAGUGGGGAAUAUGGCACAAUGGGCGUAAGUCUGAGGCAGCCAAGCCGCGUGUGUGAAGAAGGCCUUCGGGUUGUAAAGCACUUUCAGCGGGGAGGCGUUACCCGCAGAAGAAGCACCGGCUAACGCCGUGCCAGCAGCCGCGGUAAUUC